rnacentral:lncRNA from 1 species
AUGUUUCCACUUUUGGAGCCUUUUUCUUGUAAUUGCUCAGUUCAGGGCAGCAGACAACUUCCCUGGCACCAAAUGGGACAAUGCAAUGCUCAGCCUGGAUCAGCGACCACAGGACUGGCCCUAGCCGAGCAAACAAGUGCCACCAGAGGAUGCUGCUGCUCCCAUGAGGGUGUGACUUUGUGGCACAGGCUGGUGGUGGUCUCGGAGGACACCUCAGACAGGUUGGCUACAGUGACUCAUGGGCUGCCUAAACCAUGCUGCCUGUUGAGGUCCAUCAAAAACCAGUCCUACAGCCGUGUCCCCUGCAUCAGCCCUGGAAAAAUCCAGAAGAAAUGAGAAAGCAGAGCCUCUCUGCAAACCAAGUGCAGCCGGGCCUCCGAGGUGCUUUGUGCAGCGCAGGAGUGGGCUCUUCUCCAGGGAGCCUCAAUCCAAGGCGAUAAGGCAGACAAAGCAAGCACGGAGAAAAACAGGCUCUUGGCGGAGAAAUGACAAGCCACAUGCAACGGGACACAGGAGACACCCACUCCCUGCCCCAUGUGUUGCACCGUGAUGAAUAACCAACCUCCUCCGUGCAGCGAGACACCUGGACCUGGUGCUGUUCCCUUGGGUGAGGAGCAGAGGGUCACAUCCUGGUGCCCAUCAGCUGCGGUGAGUGCUGCUAGUGGCAGCACAGAGCCUCUCGUUCAUCCCACCCCAACCCAGAGAGUCUGAAGCAUCAAAUGCAUCAGUAUGGUGGAGGUUUCCACCUCAAGUGAAUUCUUUUAUUUUAAAAUUUUAUUCACCAAGUUUUAUAUUUUGGGGGCCUUUAGGAAGAUUAAAUAAAAACCUACAUCAAAAAUUACGUCCCUUUUCA